rnacentral:rRNA from 1 species
UAGUAACGGCGAGUGAAGCGGGAUGAGCUCAAGCUUAAAAUCUCCGUGCAAAUUUUGCAUGGCGAAUUGUAGUCUAUAGAGGCGUGAUUAGCAUAGGCACUUGGGGCAAGUUCCUUGGAAGAGGACAGCAUCGAGGGUGAUACUCCCGUUUAUCUCCGAGUUGCUUAUGCGUACAAUCCGUUUUCUUUGAGUCGCGUUGUUUGAGAAUGCAGCGCAAAGUAGGUGGUAAAUUCCAUCUAAAGCUAAAUAUUGGUGCGAGACCGAUAGCAAACAAGUACCGUGAGGGAAAGAUGAAAAGAACUUUGAAAAGAGAGUUAAAGAGUACCUGAAACUGCUGAAAGGGAACCAAAUCGUUUCCAGUGUCUAUAAUCCGUGGUAUAUUUCAUUGGCGAAUGUGUGCGUGCGUGUACUCUGGCAGCGGCUUUUUGCUGCGCCUUGUGUGUGUGUGCACUUUCUCGCUGAUGCCCUGUACCGUGGUGGGACGUCAAUGUCGGUUCGUAAAUUGCGGGAAAUGACUGCUGAGGAGGUAGGGCGAACGCUUGCGUUUGUCUGUUAUAUCUUGGCGGACGUAGUAGUCGCGGUUGGGACUGAGGUGCCUACAAUGUGCUUAUGAGUAGAAUUGAUUCUCUGUGUGCGCCGUGUGCGGAUAGCUUGCUAUGCGUGUGUGGCUGUGUGUGGAU